AUUGAACGCUGGCGGCAGGCCUAACACAUGCAAGUCGAGCGGUAGAGAGAAGCUUGCUUCUCUUGAGAGCGGCGGACGGGUGAGUAAUGCCUAGGAAUCUGCCUAGUGGUGGGGGAUAACGAUCGGAAACGGACGCUAAUACCGCAUACGUCCUACGGGAGAAAGCGGGGGACCUUCGGGCCUCGCGCCAUUAGAUGAACCUAGGUCGGAUUAGCUAGUUGGUGAGGUAAUGGCUCACCAAGGCUACGAUCCGUAACUGGUCUGAGAGGAUGAUCAGUCACACUGGAACUGAGACACGGUCCAGACUCCUACGGGAGGCAGCAGUGGGGAAUAUUGGACAAUGGGCGAAAGCCUGAUCCAGCCAUGCCGCGUGUGUGAAGAAGGUCUUCGGAUUGUAAAGCACUUUAAGUUGGGAGGAAGGGUAGUAACUUAAUACGUUGCUACUUUGACGUACCG
rnacentral:rRNA from 1 species